CCCAGCUGUCAGUCUGAGUGUUCUCUGUCCCGUGUUUACCCGGUUUGUUACUUUGCUCUGUUUUCCCUGUCUGUCGUUUGUUUGUUGCCUGCCCUGACCUACUGCCUGUUCUUCGAUUACGAUUUCUGCAUUCUCUACAUUGUUGUGUUUGCCGGUGUUGAUCUUUGCCUGUUGUUUACAAGUGAGUUAAUAAAGCUUGCAUAUGGAUCCCCUGCAUUACGACCCAUCAUUACACCUAUUUUGUUUCAUAUUGUACUGCAAAUUUUCACGACUGUCGUGCCUGUUGCUCUAGUGCUGCUUCUCAUUGGCCUUUUAUCAGCUGGAGUGAUAUGGUGGAAAAAAAAGACCAAAGGCUCUGGAACAGUGACACAAUCUUCCAGAGAGACAAAUGAAGAUUAUGAAAAUUAUCAAAAUUUGCAUCCUGUUCAAACAAAAGAAAAUGACAAGGGUUUAGACCCAACCACCAGCCAAUCAGAUUCAGUCUACCAGAAUCUGUCCUAUAUCAAUAAACAUUAAGAUUCUGGAUACUUCUGUUUGCUAGCCAAGUGGACUGGUUUGAGCUGUCAAACUGAUUAAUGUAACCCCAUUGUUUGUUUCUUUCCACAAGUUUUUGUAUCUUUUUUUGUGAAAUACUCUUUUGUGCUUUGGAUCAUUUCAAAUGUUUUUUUAUGAAGGACAAAUCACACACUAUUUGCAUUGUAUGUUUGCUAAUGGAAGUCUCAAGGUAGCUGGUCAUGUGAAUAACGAGAGUUGCUCUAUAAAGAUAUUCAGCUCAUGUCUGGCUUUAUUUUUAAGCCUGGCACUUGAUUCCCGUGGCUCAGGCCAUGGCUCAUCAUGGCGCUCACAAUUGGUGGAGUAUGAGACAGGAAUCCUCUUUCUCUCUCCCUCUCCAGCAACUCCAUAGGUCGCAUUUUGGACUUGGAAGCUUGUUUCACAAUUUCUUCCUAGCAAAACAACAACCUAAUGUUGUCUUUUGCAUCCUUUAAACAGUUGGUAAAGUAAGUUUUCAAAUCAGAUUUAAUCUGUAUUUGCAACUUUGGAACUUUGUAGUAUUAAAUUUUAAUUAUUUCUCAUAUUGCCCUCCAACUACUUUAUUGUAAAUCCACAAACAGGCUCUAAGCAGGACCUAUGAUGCACUUAACAAAUAUGAUUCAACAUCUUUAGAUCUACUUAAAAAUAAUACAGAGACAGGUGUAGACAAACCAUAUUCAAAGGACAACUGUGACAAAAUAAUUCAGGGACUUUAUUAAUCAAGCAAUUGCCUUAGACAUGCUGUAAUACAAUUUGGCCUAACAUCAGACUUUUUAAGAUUAAAGCUGACAGAUCCCACAUGAUAGAUGACAGCAGUCUCCCUCAGCUCUGCUGCAUAUGUUCUGGACAUGACAUAUGUUCUAGACCUUCUCUGGGCUUUUUGGAGAGGUGGUACAGUAUAGAGCCAUCUCCAUUUAUUGCAUUGUUUAGUGUGUUAAAACAAUGCAAAAUUAUGAA